rnacentral:rRNA from 1 species
AUUGAACGCUCGCGGGAUGCUUUACACAUGCAAGUCGAACGGCAGCGCGGACUUCGGUCUGGCGGCGAGUGGCGAACGGGUGAGUAAUGUAUCGGAACGUGCCCAGUAGCGGGGGAUAACUACGCGAAAGCGUAGCUAAUACCGCAUACGCCCUACGGGGGAAAGCAGGGGAUCGUAAGACCUUGCACUAUUGGAGCGGCCGAUAUCGGAUUAGCUAGUUGGUGAGGUAACGGCUCACCAAGGCGACGAUCCGUAGCUGGUUGAGAGGACGACCAGCCACACUGGGACUGAGACACGGCCCAGACUCCUACGGGAGGCAGCAGUGGGGAAUUUUGGACAAUGGGGGCAACCCUGAUCCAGCCAUCCCGCGUGUGCGAUGAAGGCCUUCGGGUUGUAAAGCACUUUUGGCAGGAAAGAAACGUCGCGGGCUAAUACCCCGUGGAACUGACGGUACCUGCAGAAUAAGCACCGGCUAACUACGUG